UUUAAAUUGAGAGUUUGAUCCUGGCUCAGGACGAACGCUGGCGGCGUGCUUAACACAUGCAAGUCGAGCGGGGAACUUCGGUUCCCAGCGGCGGACGGGUGAGUAACACGUGGGUAACCUACCUCAUAGUGGGGAAUAGCCUUUCGAAAGGAAGAUUAAUACCGCAUAAUACUCGAGAAUCGCAUGAUUCUUGAGCCAAAGGAUUUAUUCGCUAUGAGAUGGACCCGCGGCGCAUUAGCUUGUUGGUGAGGUAACGGCUCACCAAGGCUUCGAUGCGUAGCCGACCUGAGAGGGUGAUCGGCCACAUUGGAACUGAGACACGGUCCAGACUCCUACGGGAGGCAGCAGUGGGGAAUAUUGCACAAUGGGGGAAACCCUGAUGCAGCAACGCCGCGUGAGUGAUGAAGGUCUUCGGAUCGUAAAACUCUGUCUUAUGGGACGAUAAUGACGGUACCAUAGGAGGAAGCCACGGCUAACUACGUGCCAGCAGCCGCGGUAAUACGUAGGUGGCAAGCGUUGUCCGGAUUUACUGGGCGUAAAGGAUGUGUAGGCGGAUAUUUAAGUGAGAUGUGAAAUCCCCGGGCUUAACUUGGGGGCUGCAUUUCAAACUGGAUGUCUGGAGUGCAGGAGAGGAAGGCAGAAUUCCUAGUGUAGCGGUGAAAUGCGUAGAGAUUAGGAAGAAUACCAGUGGCGAAGGCGGCCUUCUGGACUGUAACUGACGCUGAGGCAUGAAAGCGUGGGGAGCAAACAGGAUUAGAUACCCUGGUAGUCCACGCCGUAAACGAUGAAUACUAGGUGUAGGAGGUAUCGACUCCUUCUGUGCCGCAGUUAACACAAUAAGUAUUCCGCCUGGGAAGUACGGUCGCAAGAUUAAAACUCAAAGGAAUUGACGGGGACCCGCACAAGCAGCGGAGCAUGUGGUUUAAUUCGAAGCAACGCGAAGAACCUUACCUAGACUUGACAUCUCCUGAAUUAGUCCGUAAUGGAUGAAGUCCCUUCGGGGACAGGAUGACAGGUGGUGCAUGGUUGUCGUCAGCUCGUGUCGUGAGAUGUUGGGUUAAGUCCCGCAACGAGCGCAACCCUUAUCAUUAGUUGCUAACAUUUAGUUGAGCACUCUAGUGAGACUGCCCGGGUUAACCGGGAGGAAGGUGGGGAUGACGUCAAAUCAUCAUGCCCCUUAUGUCUAGGGCUACACACGUGCUACAAUGGUGGGGACAAAAAGAUGCAAUACCGCAAGGUGGAGCAAAACUCAAAACCCCAUCCCAGUUCGGAUUGUAGGCUGAAACUCGCCUACAUGAAGCCGGAGUUGCUAGUAAUCGCGAAUCAGAAUGUCGCGGUGAAUACGUUCCCGGGUCUUGUACACACCGCCCGUCACACCAUGAGAGUCGGCAACACCCGAAGCCCGUGAGGUAACCUGAGGUAACCUUUUGGAACCAGCGGUCGAAGGUGGGGUUGAUAAUUGGGGUGAAGUCGUAACAAGGUAGCCGUAGGAGAACCUGCGGCUGGAUCACCUCCUUUCU
rnacentral:rRNA from 2 species